rnacentral:tRNA from 1 species
AGCCCGGUAAAUGCAAAAGACUUAAACCCUUUAUUCAGAGGUUCAAAUCCUCUCCCUAGCU